GUACACUCCUGCGGGAGGCAGCAGUGGGGAAUAUUGGACAAUGGGCGCAAGCCUGAUCCAGCCAUGCCGCGUGAGUGAUGAAGGCCCUAGGGUUGUAAAGCUCUUUCACCGGUGAAGAUAAUGACGGUAACCGGGGAAGAAGCCCCGGCUAACUUCGUGCCAGCAGCCGCGGUAAUACGAAGGGGGCUAGCGUUGUUCGGAUUUACUGGGCGUAAAGCGCACGUAGGCGGACUAUUAAGUCAGGGGUGAAAUCCCGGGGCUCAACCCCGGAACUGCCUUUGAUACUGGUAGUCUUGAGUUCGAGAGAGGUGAGUGGAAUUCCGAGUGUAGAGGUGAAAUUCGUAGAUAUUCGGAGGAACACCAGUGGCGAAGGCGGCUCACUGGCUCGAUACUGACGCUGAGGUGCGAAAGCGUGGGGAGCAAACAGGAUUAGAAACCCGUGUAGUCCCAUG
rnacentral:rRNA from 1 species